rnacentral:rRNA from 1 species
AAUCAACGCUGGCGGCGUGCCUCAGACAUGCAAGUCGAACUAUUAAGACUUCCUUCGGGAAGUGUAUAAAGUGGCGCACGGGUGAGUAACACGUAAGUAAUCUACCCUCGAGUGGGGAAUAACGUUCGGAAACGAACGCUAAUACCGCAUAAUGCAGCGGCAUCGCAAGAUGACAGCUGUUAAAGGAGUAAUUCGCUUGAGGAGGAGCUUGCGGCAGAUUAGCUAGUUGGUAAGGUAACGGCUUACCAAGGCUACGAGCUGUAUCCGGUCUAAGAGGACGGUCGGACACACUGACACUGAAGAACGGGUCAGACUCCUACGGGAGGCAGCAGUCGGGAAUUUUGGGCAAUGGGCGAAAGCCUGACCCAGCAACGCCGCGUGAAGGAUGAAGUAUUUCGGUAUGUAAACUUCGAAAGAAUGGGAAGAAUAAAUGACGGUACCAUUUAUAAGCUCCGGCUAACUACGUGCCAGCAGCCGCAGUAAAAC